rnacentral:rRNA from 1 species
AUACGUAGGGGGCGAGCGUUGUCCGGAAUGAUUGGGCGUAAAGGGCGCGUAAGCGGCCCGGUAAGUCUGGAGUGAAAGUCCUGUUUUUAAGAUGGGAAUUGCUUUGGAUACUGUCGGGCUUGAGUGCAGGAGAGGUAAGUGGAAUUCCCAGUGUAGCGGUGAAAUGCGUAGAGAUUGGGAGGAACACCAGUGGCGAAGGCGACUUACUGGACUGUAACUGACGCUGAGGCGCGAAAGUGUGGGGAGCAAACAGGAUUAGAUACCCUGGUAGUCCACACUGUAAACGAUGAAUGCUAGGUGUAGGGGGUAUCGACCCCUUCUGUGCCGCAGUCAACACAAUAAGCAUUCCGCCUGGGGAGUACGGCCGCAAGGUUGAAACUCAAAUGAAUUGGCGGGG